ensembl:antisense Gm44210 predicted gene, 44210
CCGUGGCCGUCUCCCCGUCAGCGUUCAGCCCCAGUACCGCGCAGAGCGCACGGAAGUCGGCGCGCGGUAGGCGGCCCGCUCCCCGGCAGUCCAAGUGGUGGAAAACCUCCUGCAGAUACUGAUCCAGACCGGUAGCCAGCACCACGAUCUCAUUCUCCACGCCGCGGUCCAGCCCGUAGUGGCCUUUCCGCUAUUGUCACCAGAGGCUGGAGCGCCUGCGCCUGCUGUUGUGUUCUGCAAUUCCCAGCCCUCGGCCGGCCGUUCUCUGCCUCUUCUCCAGACUGCUUCCUAAGCUCUCCCUCCCUCCUCGUAACUAGAACCGAGGAGGAAACAAACUUGGACGUGGAUGAAGUUAGAGUUUUGGUGAGAGGAAAGUGGUUGUCUACCGCGGCCACCUUUGGGCUCCAGGUGGUUGCUUGGCCUGAGCUCCUUCCGCUGGCUGGGAUGAGAAAUGUAGUAUUGACUCCGUCUGGCGCUUGCCAUGGGAACCUUACCCAGCCAUAUUGGAGCGAAGAGCAAACUCAGCGGCCCUUGACUAUUAGAUAAGCAGAUCUUGUUUUGUGUACAAAUCCCAGUUGAAAAGCAUUAUCAUUUUGUUUCCUCCAUUAUAGCACCCCCGACCAGCACUUUGUCCUUUGUUCCACACACUUCGGGAAGGAAUCAGACAUCCCAAGCAUUUUGGAUAUACAUGUGUACAUAUAUAUGUUAAUUAU